AGUUUAUGAUUAAAAUUUAGAGUUUAACAUUGAAAUUUAUUUGUAGUUUAAAUAUAUUUGAGUUUGUGAUUUAAAUUAUAAGAUUGAAAAAAUUAGAUAUAUAGUUUUAUAUGUAUGUUUAAGUUUGGGGUUUAGGAUAUAGAAUUGGGGGUUUGAAUUAGGGUUUGUACACUGCCAUGAAAAAAAUAUGGCUAUACAUUGGCUAGUAAUAUAGCUACUGAAACAAUACUGGCUAUAACCGUGGCUAUGU
rnacentral:lncRNA from 1 species